UACGUAGGGUGCGAGCGUUGUCCGGAAUUACUGGGCGUAAAGAGCUCGUAGGUGGUUUGUCGCGUUGUUCGUGAAAACCGGGGGCUUAACCCUCGGCGUGCGGGCGAUACGGGCAGACUUGAGUACUGCAGGGGAGACUGGAAUUCCUGGUGUAGCGGUGGAAUGCGCAGAUAUCAGGAGGAACACCGGUGGCGAAGGCGGGUCUCUGGGCAGUAACUGACGCUGAGGAGCGAAAGCGUGG
rnacentral:rRNA from 1 species